UGGGGAGUGACUUACACCUCUACUCAGAUCUGUGCCUUAAAAGGAUCAACAGUGGAAAUAAGCUGCACCUACACAUACCCAUCCAGAAUAAAUAGCCGUGAUACUAAAGUUGAGGAAACAUUCUGGUUUACUCAAAUGAAUAGAUAUGUACCUGUGGAUCUGAGAACAGACUCAAGGUACGCAGGUCGUUUGCGGUACAGUUGUUCUAACAACAUCUGCACUCUGAGAAUCACAGACCUGAGAGAGAGCGACUCAGCUGAGUACAAGUUCAGGUUCAUAACAAACAACCAGGUGGGAAAUAUAUUGGUUCACCUGGAGUCACUUUGUCUGUCACAGGUCUCCAGGUGCAUGAAAUCAGAUCUACAUAUUCAACCUGGGCAGAGCUGAAGUGUCACAGCAGCUGUCAUCUACCUGAUCAUUCUUCCUACGUCUGGUACAAGAAUGGAAGAAAAUUCAGAGAGAAACAUCUUCUUCUUAUUCAGACUACUUUUAUUCUGCAUACAGUUAUUCCUGUGCUGUGAAAGGACUGGAGGGUUUCCCCUCUCCUGUGUGUGUCUAUGGUCAAACCUGCAACAGAGUGACUUACACUGACAGAAGCAUCUGUGCCGUCAAAGGCUCAUCAGUGAACAUUUCUUGUACUUACAACAGUUAUGACACAUAUAUCAGAUCUAAAUUCUGGUUCAGUCCUGAACGUAGUCUUCAGUGGCAGAAUCCCUCACAGCCUGAGGACCUUAGUGAAGACUCCCAGUAUGCAGGUCGUGUUCAGGUCCUUGAAACAGAGAGAGGACGCUCCACUCUGAGAAUCACUGACCUGAGAGAGAGCGACUCAGCUGAGUAUC